rnacentral:rRNA from 1 species
CCCUUAGAUGUUCUGGGCCGCACGCGCGCUACACUGAUGAAUUCAACGAGCACUAACCUGUGCAGAAAUGUUCGGGUAAUCUUGUGAAAUUUCAUCGUGAUGGGGAUUGAUUAUUGCAAUUAUUAAUCAUAAACGAGGAAUGCCUAGUAAGCGUGAGUCAUCAGCUCACGUUGAUUACGUCCCUGCCCUUUGUACACACCGCCCGUCGCUCCUACCGAUUGAAUGUGCUGGUGAAAAGUUCGGAUUGGGAAUAGGAGGCGGCAACGUAUCCUGUUUCUGAGAAAAUCUUUAAACCCUCCCAUUUAGAGGAAGGAGAAGUCGUAACA